CCUACGGGGGGCUGCAGUGGGGAAUAUUGCACAAUGGGGGGAACCCUGAUGCAGCAACGCCGCGUGGGUGAAGAAGUACUCCGGUAUGUAAAGCCCUGUCAGCAGGGAAGAAAAUGACGGUACCUGACCAAGAAGCCCCGGCUAACUCCGUGCCAGCAGCCGCGGUAAUACGGGGGAUGCAAGCGUUAUCCGGAUUUAUUGGGUUUAAAGGGUGCGUAGGCUGUGAGGUAAGUCAGCGGUGAAAUGCCCCCGCUCAACGGGGUGAAGUGCCAUUGAUACUGCCUUGCUGGAAUGCGGAUGCCGUGGGAGGAAUGUGUGGUGUAGCGGUGAAAUGCAUAGAUAUCACACAGAACACCGAUUGCGAAGGCAUCUCACGAAUCCGCGAUUGACGCUGAUGCACGAAAGCGUGGGUAUCAAACAGGAUUAGAUACCCUUGUAGUC
rnacentral:rRNA from 1 species